UACGUAGGGUGCGAGCGUUGUCCGGAAUUAUUGGGCGUAAAGAGCUCGUAGGCGGUUUGUCGCGUCUGCUGUGAAAACUCAGGGCUUAACCCUGAGCUUGCAGUGGGUACGGGCAGACUAGAGUGCGGUAGGGGAGACUGGAAUUCCUGGUGUAGCGGUGAAAUGCGCAGAUAUCAGGAGGAACACCGGUGGGCGAAGGCGGGGUC
rnacentral:rRNA from 1 species